AGUGAACGCUGGCGGUAGGCCUAACACAUGCAAGUCGAACGGCAGCACAGUAAGAGCUUGCUCUUACGGGUGGCGAGUGGCGGACGGGUGAGGAAUACAUCGGAAUCUACUUUUUCGUGGGGGAUAACGUAGGGAAACUUACGCUAAUACCGCAUACGACCUACGGGUGAAAGCAGGGGAUCUUCGGACCUUGCGCGAUUGAAUGAGCCGAUGUCGGAUUAGCUAGUUGGCGGGGUAAAGGCCCACCAAGGCGACGAUCCGUAGCUGGUCUGAGAGGAUGAUCCGCCACACUGGAACGGAGACACGGUCCAGACUCCUGCGGGAGGCAGCAGUGGGGAAUAUUGGACAAUGGGCGCAAGCCUGAUCCAGCCAUACCGCGUGGGUGAAGAAGGCCUUCGGGUUGUAAAGCCCUUUUGUUGGGAAAGAAAAGCAGCAGGUUAAUACCCCGCUGUUCUGACGGUACCCAAAGAAUAAGCACCGGCUAACUUCGUG
rnacentral:rRNA from 1 species